rnacentral:rRNA from 1 species
UACGGGGGGGGUAAGCGUUGUUCGGAAUUACUGGGCGUAAAGGGCUCGUAGGCGGCCAACUAAGUCAGACGUGAAAUCCCUCAGCUUAACUGGGGAACUGCGUCUGAUACUGGAUGGCUUGGAUUUGGGAGAGGAAUGCGGAAUUCCAGGUGUAGCGGUGAAAUGCGUAGAUAUCUGGAGGGACACCGGUGGCGAAGGCGGCAUUCUGGACCAAUAUUGACGCUGAGGAGCGAAAGCCAGGGGGGCAAACGGG